GACGAACGCUGGCGGCGUGCUUAACACAUGCAAAUCGAACGGUGAACUCCGCUUGCGGGGGGAUCAGUGGCGAACGGGUGAGUAACACGUGGGCAACCUGCCCUCAGCUCUGGGAUAACUCCAAGAAAUCGGGGCUAAUACCGGAUAUGACCGCUGACCGCAUGGUCUGGUGGUGGAAAGAUUUAUCGGCUGGGGAUGGGCCCGCGGCCUAUCAGCUUGUUGGUGGGGUAGUGGCCUACCAAGGCGACGAUGGGUAGCCGGCCUGAGAGGGUGACCGGCCACACUGGGACUGAGACACGGCCCAGACUCCUACGGGAGGCAGCAGUGGGGAAUAUUGCGCAAUGGGCGAAAGCCUGACGCAGCGACGCCGCGUGGGGGAUGACGGCCUUCGGGUUGUAAACCUCUUUCAGCAGGGACGAAGCGAAAGUGACGGUACCUGCAGAAGAAGCACCGGCCAACUACGUG
rnacentral:rRNA from 1 species